rnacentral:rRNA from 1 species
GACGAACCGUGCGAACGUUGUUCGGAAUCACUGGGCUUAAAGGGCGCGUAGGCGGCUGACCGAGUCCGGGGUGAAAUCCUCCCGCCCAACGGGAGAAGUGCCUUGGAUACUGGUCAGCUCGAGCGGGGUAGAGGCAGGUGGAAUUCCGGGUGUAGCGGUGGAAUGCGUAGAGAUCCGGAAGAACACCGGUGGCGAAGGCGGCCUGCUGGGCAGUGGCUGACGCUGAGGCGCGACAGCGUGGGGAGCAAACAGG